rnacentral:rRNA from 1 species
AGGGCACCACCAGGAGUGGAGCCUGCAUCUUAAUUUGACUCAACAUGGGAAAACUCACCUGGCCUGGACACGGACAGGAUUGACAGAUUGAUAGCUCUUUCUCAAUUCCACAGGUGGUGGUGCAUGGCCUUAGUUGCUGGAGUGAUUUGUCUGGUUAAUUCCAAUAAUGAACGAGACUCUGGCAUGCCAACUAGUUAUGCGACCCCCGAGUGGUUGGCAUCCCCCAACUUCUUAGAGGGACAAGUGGCGUUUAGCCACCUGAGAUUGAGCA